CUGAGUACCGGGUCAGGUUUUUUGGUGUCUUCUGAGCCUGAUGGCCGUAUGACCGAAAGUCUGUGUAGACAAGUAGUAAAGAGAUAACGUAUCUUGGGCGUAAGCCUGAGGAAAGGUAGUAAUGGAGUUGAGACCGCGUGAGGUCUAGUAUUGAAAAGAGAGUGAACUAUACCUUGGUUUUGAAGUACAGAGAUUAUGUUUAAUCGAGGCAGGUUAACUGCGUAGAAACGGUGGAAGCUUAGACUAAUACAGGAUCUAAGGGUUAAACCAAGACAAUUUCCAUAUUUAGCGAUAGAUGUGAAGGUAAUUGAUAAAAACCUGAUAACUCAAAGUGAUAAUAUACCAUACCUGUUCCUGUAAUAAAAGGACCUUGAAAUAACAACUUUAGUGCAGAAAAGCAAGAGACCG